UGCCUACCAGUAGCACUUUCCCAGUUCCAGUGUGACUCGCGAGCUCGACCGAUCGCGCAAUGGCGGCUCGCGGCGGGAAGGCCCUGGUGCUGGCCAUGCUGAUCUCCUUCCUCGCGGUCCAGGGAACGCUGGGGUCCGAUUUCGCCGCGUGCUACUGCCACCACAACAAAGUGUGCACGAAACAAUGGCCACGCAAGCCGGUGUACUGCAUGAAGAAAAGCCUCGAAGACUGUACCGGCUGGACGUGCUCCAAGAAGCCUCCUUCCGUGAUGCCACUGGCCGAUGCUGUCAACCCCGUUACAGACGAGGGCAGCAUGGCCGUUCCUGCCGGGGGUGCCGAUCAUGGCGAGUUCAACAUCACUGAGGGCAGCAUGGCUGCUCCUGCCGGGGGUGCCGAUCACGGCGACUUCAACACUGCAGAAGAGGAUGCAGCUCCGUGAGGGCUGGGAGAGGCUGGCUGGAGACUUGGAGGACAGACACAGUUUGGCCGCGUGUGUAUGGUAGAACCAAUCGAUUUGCAGAAGAUAGCAUGAACCGGAAGGGUAAUCGGUGCCGCCACCGGAAGGCUCGGCAGUGCUAAUCGCCGGAACUACACUACCGGCAGUGCCAUCCAAAUCCUCGGAGACGCUCAAGGUAUAUACAAUGAACACACAAAGGGGUCCACAUGCAAUUAUCUAAUUAUUGGAUGCAUCAGAUUAACGUGCUGAAUGAAUCACAUGUGUAUACUUGAGACAAAUGAAUGUAUUAAUGGUUAGUAAUUUUUUUAUCUAUCCUUUUUACAUGUCCUCGAGGGUGACCAUAGUAGCAUCUUGAGCCCAAAUACAGUCCUGCCAUCUAACGCCGCCUGUAAUUUUUUAGCUACAGGAAUUUGGACCGUCUUGCAAGAAGAAUCAGUUGAGAAGAUUGGACUAUGCUACUUCUCUAAGGCUGAGUAUACACUCUUUGUUGUUAAUUGUAGUGAUAGUUACUAUUAUUGAAUUGCUAAGGUGACAAACUGACAGUUAUUGCUUGAUGAGCUUACUCUUGUUCAUCACAUUGCAUCCCUCUUACACGGGAAUCAUCAAAUGUUCACACAUAUGUAUGUCCUUUAGUUGUCAUUUGCUCUUUUUUAUUUCUUCUUCCCUUUUUUGUGUGGAUAAUCCAAUUUCUUAUGUUGUCAAUGGAUCUUAAACAUCUUCACUUCUGAUUUCUAUUUCAAACAGACAGUGCAGCUUUGACGGCCUCUUAUUUCAUGCCGACAAGUGUAUUUUGUUCCAUUAGAAAUAUAUAACUAUAUUUUAUUCCUGAGAGAGCAAUCUUAUACGGGAAUAUAGUGUUGUAUUUUGUGCACCCUCAUUUGGCAAGAGUUCAGGUUACUAUUUGUCUCUGUGUGAAAGUUCUCACAUUAGUUCAUGCAGAAUAUGUCUAUAUUUUUACCAAGGGGUUCCAAUGAUUCGAGGACUGCAUAUGUGCAGAUCUAGAAACUCUUUCUUCCCAAGAUGGGCAAUGUGCAGAUCUAGAAAUGGUAUGUCCCCUAUGCGUGUAUGACUGUUGGUGGAGAUGUUCAUACUUUAGGAUCUUUGGUUCCUGAGUUAGUGAGGUGCAUGCUCUCGACCCUGACAUCUACUUACUCUAUUGUCAUCUAUAGUCUGUAUUGUGCUCUGCGCUUAAUGUGCAUUGGGUGCAUAGCAGAACAUGAAUUUCAGAUGCCCUUAUUUGUUUGAUGAAAUGCCUCCUUGAUCUGCAUGCCAGGUAUUAUAGCAUACUGUAUAUGGCUUCUAAGCUCUUUGAAAGUUUAGGACACAAUAGGAAGUCAUAUUACAGCGGUUUCCGAUUAAUAACAAAGCUGAAAGCACAAUCUCUAUUUUUCGAGGACAGCAAAAUUGUUUUCUAGAACUGAUAGUUUCUUCGGUAUUUUUUUGUUUGCUUUCUGUUACUUUAUAACUGAAUAUGAAUAUGCAGUUAGCUUAUUUUUCUUUUAUGUGAUAUGUGAGUAAAUAGCAGUUAGCUGCAUGGGUUACUGUGGUUUCAAGCUCAACUUUUGUGUUAUCUAGCUGCAGUGCUAGGACUGGUUGUUUCCCAAAGAGAUGAUAUGACCAUGAGUUUAUGGCCUUUUUGAGCUUGAUGUCUUCUGUAUAAGAGAAAUGAAGUCUUCGGCAUGUACACUGUGUAAACAAUCAUUGGAAAGGCGAGAGGAAGAUAAGAGGAGCAUAUAGAAGUUUGUGAUUUGUAUAGGAGGCCUUGUUGGUAUGAUUUAUUUUCCUGAUGGUAUAUUCAUCUCAUUAGGAAGGCCUUGUUGUGUGGCUUUGGUCUUCCUAAAAUUUUCUGUGAUUUUUUCUUUUCUUUUUAGGUUUGUGAAACAAUGACUAUCCUAGCACAAGAUCUAAUCAUGGAAAUUUCCUUAUUGUACAGUUUUCCAUUUUGAAAUAGUAGACCUUUCUCCAUUGUUGAGAUGUUGAUAGGACAAGUUUUCAUUGCUUAUCUUACCAGGACUAAGAUUAGCCUGGAGAAAGUGUGGCUUGCAUGCCAUGUCAUACACAAAUUAUUAAAUUUUCGUUCUUCAUUUUUUGUUCAUGAAUGUUGCACUCCUGGAGGUGAGACUCGGAAUGGGUGCAUAAUGGUCCUGGCUACCGGAGAACUCUUCAAGCUCGUGGUGCGUGCUGUAACUCCCACUGUGGCGCUGUAGUCGAGCCCAUCAAUUCAAAUUCUGAAGAUAACAUGUAGCCUGAAUCCAAGAGGGAACAAAUCCAGUUGUUCCAAGACGCGUUCUUUUUUGUAUAUCUUGUUGACAGUUUGCAUCUCUGCCAUGUUCACUUGGACAAUGCAUAUAUGUAUUACAAGUCCUUCCAA